UACAGAGGUCCCAAGCGUUGUUCGGAUUCAUUGGGCGUAAAGGGUGCGUAGGCGGCGCGGUAAGUCGGGUGUGAAAUCUCGGGGCUUAACUCCGAAACUGCAUUCGAUACUGCCGUGCUUGAGGACUGGAGAGGAGACUGGAAUUUACGGUGUAGCGGUGAAAUGCGUAGAUAUCGUAAGGAAGACCAGUGGCGAAGGCGGGUCUCUGGACAGUUCCUGACGCUGAGGCACGAAGGCCAGGGGAGCAAACGGGAUUAGAACCGUACCU
rnacentral:rRNA from 1 species